GACGAACGCUGGCGGCGUGCUUAACACAUGCAAGUCGAACGAUGAACUUGGAGCUUGCUCUGGGGGAUUAGUGGCGAACGGGUGAGUAACACGUGAGUAACCUGCCCUGGACUCUGGGAGAACUUCGAGAAAUCGGAGCUAAUACCGGAUAGGACCUUGCACCGUAUGGUGUGGGGUGGAAAGUUUUUCGGGUUGGGAUGGACUCGCGGCCUAUCAGCUUGUUGGUGAGGUAAUGGCUCACCAAGGCGGCGACGGGUAGCCGGCCUGGGAGGGUGACCGGGCACACUGGGACUGAGACACGGCCCAGACACCUACGGGAGGCAGCAGUGGGGAAUACUGCACAAUGGGCGCAAACCUGAUGCAGCAACGCCGCGUGCGGGAUGACGGCCUUCGGGUUGUAAACCGCUUUUAGUAGGGAAGAAGCCUUCGGGUGACGGUACCUGCAGAAAAAGGACCGGCUAACUACGUGCCAGCCGCCGCUGUAAAAC
rnacentral:rRNA from 1 species